rnacentral:rRNA from 1 species
AGUUAGGAAAUGUAGGUGCGAUAAUACCGUGCCUAUUUGACAAAGGCUCCAAAGGAAGCCACGGCUAACUCUGUGCCAGCAGCCGCGGUAAUACAGAGGUGGCAAGCGUUGUUCGGAAUUAUUGGGCGUAAAGAGCACGUAGGUGGAUUUGUUAGUCAGAUGUGAAAGCCUUUCGUUCAACGGAAGAAUUGCAUCUGAAACUACAAACCUUGAGUAUAGGAGGGGAGAGUGGAACUUCUGGU